rnacentral:lncRNA from 1 species
CCAACUCAAAUGAUUGCCACAUGACCCAACAAGAAACGAUGUAACGCCCGAGACAUACAUAUAUGUCAUUCCACCACGUUACACCGGCACACAUAGGCCUUAAGCCUUUCCCUAACUCAAUACAUCUCCCAAAUAUAUAAAUAUCAACCUCAUAUACAAUAACCCCAAUCAAUACAAUCAUCACAUUCAAUCCUCAAACA